rnacentral:rRNA from 1 species
AGUGAACGCUGGCGGUAGGCCUAACACAUGCAAGUCGAACGGCAGCACAGUAAGAGCUUGCUCUUACGGGUGGCGAGUGGCGGACGGGUGAGGAAUACAUCGGAAUCUACUUUUUCGUGGGGGAUAACGUAGGGAAACUUACGCUAAUACCGCAUACGACCUACGGGUGAAAGCAGGGGAUCUUCGGACCUUGCGCGAUUGAAUGAGCCGAUGUCGGAUUAGCUAGUUGGCGGGGUAAAGGCCCACCAAGGCGACGAUCCGUAGCUGGUCUGAGAGGAUGAUCAGCCACCUUGGAACUGAGACACGGUCCAGACUCCUACGGGAGGCAGCAGUGGGGAAUAUUGGACAAUGGGCGCAAGCCUGAUCCAGCCAUCCCGCGUGGGUGAAGAAGGCCUUCGGGUUGUAAAGCCCUUUUGUUGGGAAAGAAAAGCAGCAGGUUAAUACCCCGCUGUUCUGACGGUACCCAAAGAAUAAGCACCGGCUAACUUCGUG